rnacentral:rRNA from 1 species
CGGGGGGAGCAAGCGUUGUUCGGAUUUACUGGGCGUAAAGGGCGCGUAGGCGGCCACCGCAAGUCGACUGUGAAAUCUCCGGGCUUAACCCGGAAAGGUCAGCCGAUACUGCGGGGCUAGAGUGCAGAAGGGGCAACUGGGAAUUCUCGGUGUAGCGGUGAAAUGCGUAGAUAUCGAGAGGAACACCUGCGGCGAAGGCGGGUUGCUGGGCUGACACUGACGCUGAGGCGCGAAAGCUAGGGGAGCGAACGGGAUUAGAUACCCCGGUAGUCCUAGCCUUAAACGAUGAAUGCUUGGUGUCUGGGGUUUUAUAGUCCCCGGGUGCCGUCGCUAACGCUUUAAGCAUUCCGCCUGGGGAGUACGGUCGCAAGACUGA